ACCGCGGUAGCCCUGUUGGUAGUGGCGUGGGCAGUACAAAUGCCGAAGGUCGCAGGUUCAAAUCACGCCUGCGGUG